UUUAUUUCUCCCCUGAGGCAUACCAAACAAAUGAGCAAACAAAGAGGACUAUGAGGAGGAAUAUGAUGACUAUUCUACACAAACACCAGACUAUGACUACACUGCCACCUUCGAUUACACCUAUUUCAGUAACACCACCGGCCAUGAGGACUAUAGUUUGUACGUAAUUCUAGGAGAGAAGAAGAAGUGGAGGAGAAGGAUCUUGAGAAUAAGGCUUUAGCGAUUGGCUCCCCAUGCCCAGUGCUACUCCUCGGAUUGGCUGCUCACCAACUCCAUCGAUUACUGUGAAUGAAACCGAGCACUGCAGAACA